AUUUGAACGGCGAUGGGGCAACAGAAGCGUCGUUGUUGCUGGCGGCGGCUUUGUUUCCGGCGACGGCUCAUACCGAAGGAAUACUGAGCAAGGUAGAAGGUGGUUCAUGACCAUGAGAAGACUUUUGACCGACGCUCCACCUCACCCUUCACCCCGUAAUGGCACGGGCUAGUGAAUAGCGAUGUUUCAUUUAAGGGCAACUAUGUGCUUUCGUUUUUUCAGUUAAGGUCAAUUUCAGCAAACUAAGAAUAAAUUUGAACUUUUGAAGCACGUGGCGGAAAUCUUUGCGGAAUGAUGAUGGCUUAUCUACAAUGCGUGCGAGCACAGAUUAUUAUUGUAAUUAUCUGAAUAUGUUUAUUUUCUUGAAAAAUAUGUUUUCUUUAUGUAUAAUUACAGGACACCAGCAGCCACUUUGUAUCUA